AAUUCAGGAUGAGCCAUGAAGUUAUGGAUGGAGGUUCGAGACUCGGGUUUUUCUAACCCUUCAUAGAGAGAGCUACGGAACGCCUUCACGACGCGGAUCUGCAAGGGAAACACAAGGUCAACUCUCCUCCUUUACAUCAGCCUUCUCCAGCUACAACUUCUGCUUGCCUUCUGAAGAGCACUCUGUCUGUCUCCUCCCUACACACUAGUGACCCCAGAGAACUCUGCUGGAAUCCAAGCUGAAGCCUGUGGGGCCAGGCAGACUGAGUGCUGGUACUCUGCGACACUUUGAGCUACCUUUGUCUCUGGAUUCUCUAUGCAGAUUUUGUAGAUUUUUCACUUUAUGAUCUGAUAAGUGGGCCAUUGCACCCUUGAAAAUACUACUACUACUGCUACUACUACUACUACUAAAAGGUAUAGCCUUG